CAUGGUGUAGUUCAUCAAGGUAUCUUCUUUUUCUUUCCUUUGUUUUUGCUCCAUGCUGUGCUCUAGUGGGCAUAUGCAGCAUUUUUUGUUUAAGAGUGCAAAUUUCUAUAUGGGUUUGCCAUUUUUCUUGCAUUGGGUGUGAAAAGUUAAAUUGUUUUUAGUUUUUUCUGUUGAAUCUUGUUAGAUGUUAUGUGGGUUUUGAGUAGCUGUUGAUCUGGGUUAUGAAAUUGUAUUUAUUUGGGGGAGUUUGUUUAUAAAGUUUGGUUGGUUUCGAGAGUUUUUGUUUGGGAUUCUUCAGAUUCAUUCUUUUGGGUUGAUGAAAGUAGCUGCAUUCUUGAGGGAAUUUACAUUGGGAUGGUAUUUGGGUUUUGGUUACUGAAUUUAUGGGGUUUGAGAAUAUUUUACAAUGACCAGUGAAUUUGUCUUUUUCUUUCUAUUUCUG
rnacentral:lncRNA from 1 species